CUGCCCGCCACCGCCACCGACGAGUUUCAACAUGGGGAAUCAAGUUCUCUGGGCUUGCAGAGAGGAGAUGGGCGGGUUGGGCUUUGUAUGGCGAUGUGAAAACCAGAUGGGUCUGGGAGAGACAGCGAAAGGAGCGAACCGUUUCAGGAGGAAUACGGGAGGAAGACAAUUAUUUGCAGAGGUGUCAGGUUUGCUAAUCCUGUCCCCAGUGAGCAAGAUACCUUUGCAAGGGGAUUUGAUGCAGAUGAUCAUCAUGGCUUGGAGAAACAAUGAAGGAAGCAAAGUAUGCCAUCUAUGCUGCGGGAGGAACGAGUUUGGACUUUUAACUGAGGGCCAUUGGAAACUACUGAAGAGUUUUAGGCAGCAUAAGAACUACUAGAUUUUCAUUGUGGGAGGAUCCUCAGCAGCAGCCUCAGAAAGGAGAUUGGGGAAGGAGAUCCCUAGUCAGGGAGACCAAGAAGACUACUGGAAAAAAACAGGGGAAUCCUCAAGGACCUGCAAACAAGAAACCAAAUCCCCCCACUCCCCCCAGCCAAAAUGUGUUCAUUUUGACCAGCUGUGUGUGUGUUUUAAAUUAAAAGUUUGAAUUAGAAAGCAAGUAGGAUAAAUUUAUAUACUUAGAUGUAUAAAUUUAAAUACCUGGCCCCUGAAGCACUUCUGAUAGGUCUCAGCUACCCAAACAAGAAGAACGGAAUCUUUGAAUCCCCAGGACUCAACGCAGUACUGGACACAAAAUGGGAGCUGAAAAAGUGUGUGUGGAGUCAGUGAAGGAUGCAAUUUCCCCUCAUUGUAGAGAUGAAGAAGCUGAGGCUGCAGAGUAGAAUAGGAGCAGACAGUGGGGAUUGUCUUCAAAGUAGGUUCCUAGUUCCUGGCUCAGAGGUCCCAGUUUUUGUUGACCAUGGACAGUAAAACUCCCUGGGGAAGCGGGCCCAGUCUCAGGAGAGCAGUUUUGAUUGGUCUAAGUUUGUGAUUGACUUAGGAACUGUCUGGCCAAUGAAAUAUGAGGGAAAGCCUGGGGGAUUCUGGGAAAGGUUUUGUAAACCAAAAAGUAUUUGAGACAUGUCUCAAUUUUAGAGGAUUAUUUUGCCAAGGUUAAGGACCAUUGCCCAUACAGCCUCAGGAGGCCCUGAGAACAUAUACCCAAGGUGGUUGGGGUACAGCUUCAUUUUAUACAUUUUAGGGAGUCAGAAGUUACAGGCAAAGACAUAAAUCAAUACAUGCAAGGUAUACAUUGGUUUGGCCCAGAGAGGUGGAACAUCUAGAAGCAGGAGCUUCCAGGUCAUAAGUGGAUUCAAAGAUUUCCUGAUUGGCAGUUUGUUGACAGAGUUAAGCUCCGCCCCAAGAGUUGAUGUCAGCUUAAAUUAAGGUAAGGGGGUGCUUUGUGGAAACCAACGUUCUUAUCAUGUAUAUGAAGCCUCCAGGCUUCAGCGAGAAUAGAUGUGAAUGUCUUUUAUUGGACCUUAAAAAUUGUCAGACUUUCUGGAAAAGACCUAAUAAGGGAAUCUUUACAGAACAUAAUUUUUUCACCCACAAGUGACAGCUUGGCAGGGCCGUUUCAAAAUAUGUAAAGAAAUAUAAUUUGAGGUAAAAUAAUUUGAUUUCCUUCAGGGCCCACUGGCUGUCACGUGAUGUUAUACCAGAGUCAGAUUGGAAUCUGUUGUCUUACUGCUACCAAGAUUUUGUCUUGACAGUCUUAAGAUUCCUGUUUUAAUGUCAGUUCUGGUCAGUUGUGUCUAAACUCAAAAGGAAGGAGGGUAUAAUGAGGCAUGUUUCACCCCCUCUUUCCCAUCAUGGCCUGAACUAGUUUUUCAGGUGUUUUUUUGAAUCCCUUUGGCCAAGGGGGAUCCAUUCAGUCAGCUGAGGGGCUUAGAAUUUUAUUUUUGGUUUAUAGUUUCCUCUUGAUUAAAGAAGGAAGUCUGCAAUGUGGGUUUGUAACCUAGUUUUUAAUAACUUUACAUCAGACUUGUAAUUUAUUGUUACUUUCUGAAGACACACUGAUAAAACCUCUCUACCAUGACGUCAUUGCAUGUUUUCACGGUAGAAAUUCUAAUUAUUUGCUAAAGUGAAAAUAAAGUCAAACAUGCCUAA
rnacentral:lncRNA from 1 species